rnacentral:rRNA from 1 species
UACGGAGGGUGCUAGCGUUGUUCGGAAUUACUGGGCAUAAAGGGUGCGUAGGCGGUUUGUUAAGUCAGGGGUGAAAGUUUUCGGCCCAACCGGAAAAUGGCCUUUGAUACUGGCGAACUCGAGUGCGUGAGGGGUAACCGGAACGAGUGGUGUAGCGGUGAAAUGCGUAGAUAUCACUCGGAAGGCCAAAGGCGAAGGCAGGUUACUGGUACGCAACUGACGCUGAGGCACGAAAGCGUGGGGAGCAAACAGG